AUGUGCCCGUUGCAACGGGAGAAACAAAUUCUAGCAUGCAUUAAUGAAACAAAUUCUAGCACAGCAAAUAAUCAAUCCCAAGGCGGUCACUCUGUUUUAUUGGUGUCCAAAAAAAAAUCUAAAUUAGCUAGAAGAUUGCCUCAUCCCUUCCUAGGAGAAUGUAUCCUGUGCACCGGAUGAAUUGGUGCAACGAAUGUGCCGACUGAUUCUGGGCCACUGGAUGAAGAACAGACGGGUUGGAUCUUAGUAUAAGGUGGCAGCCGGUACAUUUCACACAAUGGACCUUGUAAAGUCAUUCAACUACACAAGCAGUCCUUCCAAGAUCCCAUCGUCUUCUUCCCUUCGCUCUUCUCCCUUCUGUACCUGUACACCGAGGAUUUGCAAGCUAGGCUCUGUACAAGCGCCCCCUCUCCCCUGAAACGACCGCGCCACCGACGAGCGCUUACAUGUAGCGCCGCCGUGCUGUAGGUCUGGGCAACAUUGACCCAGCCAUCGCAAAGCCGGCCAUCUUCUGCAGCUUAAAGUAUCCAGGGAAUGAAGAGCAGACAUUAAGGUCAAGAUCUGGAACAAGAAUAUAUUUUGUAAUGGCAGCAAGUAAGAAUAUAUUUUUUGCAAUCAACACUCACCAAUGGUUUUAGGAGUAAGAGCCAUGAUCUGGUACACAAAUCUUAAGCAGUGUCACUGAAAUGGUCUUUAGCAUAAAGUUUAUUCUUACCCAAUCAGAUAAUUUGGUUGACCUCUCAUAUUGGAUAUGCUUCUAAAAAUAGAUGAUGUUCCUAUUUUUUCAGGUACUGUCUGGAUGUUCAGCUGCAAGCUCAUUUAUAGUUACUUUGUCUCUUCUAGCCAGCCAAGAUAUCUCUGUCAGAUGAUGAGGGGAGCUGCUAAUUCAGGAUAUAUUGGCAUCUGAAACGUAAUGUAUCUCUUGUAGUAAAGUUAUUGACAACAGAACAUGGUGGACCUUCUGUUCAAGAGUUGUGUAGAACAAGCUAUCCUUAUGAAAUAUGUGCGUCAUAUAUAUGUACACAAUGAGUGAAUCCGACUGUGUAUACGACAGUGGUGUACAAGAAAUUUAAAUAUGGUACUGUCAAGUUUUCUACGAGACAAUUGUAGCCUGGAUGAAAUUACUUUAGUGCAUCUUGAAGCCUUAGUGCA